CCUACGGGGGGCUGCAGUGGGGAAUAUUGGACAAUGGGGGGAACCCUGAUCCAGCCAUGCCGCGUGUGUGAAGAAGGCCCUCGGGUUGUAAAGCACUUUCAGUGAGGAAGAACGCCUGGUGGUUAAUACCCAUCAGGAAAGACAUCACUCACAGAAGAAGCACCGGCUAACUCCGUGCCAGCAGCCGCGGUAAUACGGAGGGUGCGAGCGUUAAUCGGAAUUACUGGGCGUAAAGCGCGCGUAGGUGGCUUGAUAAGCCGGUUGUGAAAGCCCCGGGCUCAACCUGGGAACGGCAUCCGGAACUGUCAAGCUAGAGUGCAGGAGAGGAAGGUAAAAUUCCCGGUGUAGCGGUGAAAUGCGUAGAGAUCGGGAGGAAUACCAGUGGCGAAGGCGGCCUUCUGGACUGACACUGACACUGAGGUGCGAAAGCGUGGGUAGCAAACAGGAUUAGAUACCCGAGUAGUC
rnacentral:rRNA from 1 species